GCGAAAACGGCGUCGUGUCUACAACUAUCGGAUCCAUGGAUGAAGACUAUUUUGUGUUUAGCUUUCUCUCUUGGAAGUCCAUACUCCUUGUAUGCCAAAUGUCUCCCGUCUCGCAGCUUUAUACGCGGUGCUGUGAUCGGUGGACCACCGGGGGAGCCACAUAGAUUCGGUGGAGGAGGUUUCAAGAUUGACUGAUAAGUCAACGCCAAGAUUAUCCCAACAAUAAUGA